AUGAGCUUGCACUUUGGUGAACACAGUGGCAUUCAGACUAUCCAGGGCAGAGUGUCUGCACAGAGCCUGUGUCUGAUGACCCCUGAAAGUGUGCUGUCUCACAAGUAGUUCUCCACUCCCAGACCUGGAUCCCUGGGCUUCUAGCUAGGAAGCACAGCAGCAGGCAUCACGGGAAGAUGAAGAGCUUCCCUGAAGAUGACCCAUCUCACAGCCUUUUGGGGAUACAAGGCUGGCAUAACCUAUAUCAAGUGGGAAGUUGAUAAGCCAGGAUCCAAGGGGAACAAGAAGGAGGUUGUGGAGGUUGUAAUCAUAGUGGAGACACCACCCAGGGUGGUUAUAGGCAUUGUGAGCUACGUGGAAACCCUACCAGGCCUCCAGUCCUUCAAGACUAUCUUUGCUGAGCGUAUCAGUAAUGAGUGCAAAAGGUGCUUCUAUAAGAACUGGCAUAAAUCUAAGAAGAAGGCCUUUGCCAAAUACUGCAAGAAGUGGCAGGAUGUAAUGGGCAAGAAGCAAUUGGAGAAGGACUUCAGCAUGAAGAAAUACUGCCAGGUCAUCCGGAUUAUCGCCUACACCCAGAUGUGGCUGCUUCCCUUGCACCAGAAGAAAGCCCGCCUGAUGGAGAUCCAGGUGAAUGGAGGCACCUUGGCUGAGAAACUGAACUGGGCCAGGAGAGGCUGGAGCAGCAGAUCCCGGUGAACCAGGUGUUUGAGCAGGAUGACAUGAUGGAUAUCAUCAGUGUGACCAAGGGCAAAGGCUACAAAGGAGUCACCAGUCACUGGCAUACCAAGAAGCUGCCCGGCAAGACCCACCAAGAGCUGUGCAAGGUUGCCUGUAUUGGAGCUUGGCAUCCUGCCUAUGUGGUCCUCUCUGUGACCUGGGCUACCAUCACCACACUGAGAUCAACAAGAAGAUCUACAAGAUUAGUCAUGGCUACCUCAUGAAGGAUGACAAACUAAUCAAAAAUAAUGCUUCCACUGAUUAACCUGUCUAAAUGACAAGAGCAUCAGCCCUUUGGGUGGCUUUGUCCACUAUGGUGAAGUGACCAGUGACUUCGUCAUGCUGAAAGGUUGGUGGGUCCAAGAAGCCAGUGCUCACCUUCCACAAGUUCUUGCUGGUACAGACUGAACAGCGCUCUGGAGAAGGUCGGCCAGGGUUCAUGACACCACAACCAAGUUUGGCAAUGGCUGCCUCCAGACUAUGGAGGAGAAGAAAGCACUCAUUGGACCACUUCAGAAAGGCUGGAUCACCAAGGAAGAAGGUGCUUGA